AUUGAACGCUGGCGGCAGGCCUAACACAUGCAAGUCGAACGAGCGGCGGACGGGUGAGUAAUGUCUGGGAAACUGCCCGAUGGAGGGGGAUAACUACUGGAAACGGUAGCUAAUACCGCAUACCAUCGGAUGUGCCCAUAUGGGAUUAUCUAGUAGGUGGGGGAACGGCUCACCUAGGCGACGAUCCCUAGCUGGUCUGAGAGGAUGACCAGCCACACUGGAACUGGGACACGGUCCAGACUCCUACGGGGGGGAGCAGUGGGGAAUAUUGCACAAUGGGCGCAAGCCUGAUGCAGCCAUGCCGCGUGUAUGAAGAAGGCCUUCGGGUUGUAAAGUACUUUCAGCGAGGAGGCGGUACUCGCAGGAGAAGCACCGGCGAACUCCGGGCCAGCAGCCGCGGUAAUUC
rnacentral:rRNA from 1 species